rnacentral:tRNA from 1 species
GGAGCUGUGCCUGAAAUAAAGGGCCACUUUGAUAGAGUGAGCCAUGAGGGUUAAAGUCCCUCCAUCUCCU